AAGGUUUCAAAGUAGCUUCCACGGAGGGACCAGGCAAGUCACUGCCUUUGGAUGGAGGGUGUCAGGGUCUUGCUCACAGUAACACUUCUCUUUGGGUCCAAUAGACUGCAGCGGCAGAGGGGUUCUUCAGGUGUUUAUGGGUGCACGAGUCAAGUCGCCCCAGUUUAAAACUGGCAACAAGUUGAAAGAUCAUCAAGUUUUCUUGCCAACCAAGUAAAAGAGAUGGAUGUGUGGAGCAGAUCUGGUGUGGGCCAGCGGGUGACCUAUGUACCUGUCCACUGACCCUCAAUUUUUUUCCUUUUAGGCCCCAGAACAAGAAGAGCUGGAGGAAGCUGGGUGGUGACACUUGGAAUCACUUUAGUCAUUCAUUAAAUUGUUGCUGUUCUCAAGUUCGACCUCCCACAAGAACUAUUCUAUCAUAAUUCCCUAACACAGCUGAUUGUAGCUGUCCUUCUCCAAUACUCGAAGAUAGACAUUGGUAUGUAGGUGAGUACAGACACACAUGCACACUCACACAAACACACACCCACACAAACAUACACACAUACUCUCACAUACCCCCCCACAGUCACACACAUACACACAUACUCUCACAUACCCACACUCACACACACAGUUCACACACACAUAAAUACACACUCACACACACAUUCACACAUUCAUAUUCACACACACACACACACACAAGGGUGGGGAGAAGAGAACUUUCUGGAUAACCGCAUCUCUCUUUUGUGAACCAACCUCUAAAUCUCCUUUUAAGGACCCUCCCAUGUCCGUCUGGACCCUGAGGGUGCUGCAUACCCACCCCUGCCUCCUUCCCAUCCCCAGAGCCCGUGGGAGGGUGGAGAAGACACAGGCCUGGCUCCUGCGUGCUGGUCAUGGCCCUUAGGAAAGGCCUUGGGUUUGGCAGGAGAACACUGGAGGAACGAAAGCCAGGUGUAGAGACUUCUUUGGGAAGAAGAGGUGGCUCAGUGGUUAGGGGUAUGCACUUUCCUCCCAUAGAUCCUAGUGUUUGGUUCAGGGUGGAAGCUGAGAAAACUCACGUCAGAUAUGAAAGCUUAAAAAUGAAAGCUUUAUUUUCUGACCGCUCAGGAUGGAGGCCAGUUCGGGCUCUGAACCACAUCCCCAGAGAGAGAGUGUAUAACAUCUCUAAGGAAUGAGAACACAAAGCAAGCUGUGGGGAGCUGCAGUGUUAUCCGGUUGUAUUUUGACAUUGUGGGUUAAGCAAGGGAAAACCUGUUGGAGACUGGGCUGUGCCCAGGGCACCUGGCUUCAGGGUACUUAAUUCAU
rnacentral:lncRNA from 1 species